GUCUCUGUAGCUUUGGCGCAAUUGGUUAGUGCGUUCGACUGUUAAUCGAAAGGUUGGUGGUUCAAGCCUACCCAGGGACG